UUACCAUGCAGUCGAACGGUGAAGGAGAGCUUGCUCUCUGGAUCAGUGGCGAACGGGUGAGUAACACGUGAGCAAUCUGCCCCUGACUCUGGGAUAAGCGCUGGAAACGGCGUCUAAUACCGGAUACGAGCUGCGAAGGCAUCUUCAGCAGUUGGAAAGAAUUUCGGUCAGGGAUGAGCUCGCGGCCUAUCAGCUUGUUGGUGAGGUAACGGCUCACCAAGGCGUCGACGGGUAGCCGGCCUGAGAGGGUGACCGGCCACACUGGGACUGAGACACGGCCCAGACUCCUACGGGAGGCAGCAGUGGGGAAUAUUGCACAAUGGGCGCAAGCCUGAUGCAGCAACGCCGCGUGAGGGACGACGGCCUUCGGGUUGUAAACCUCUUUUAGCAGGGAAGAAGCGAAAGUGACGGUACCUGCAGAAAAAGCACCGGCUAACUACGUGCCAGCAGCCGCGGUAAUACGUAGGGUGCAAGCGUUAUCCGGAAUUAUUGGGCGUAAAGAGCUCGUAGGCGGUUUGUCGCGUCUGCUGUGAAAACCCGAGGCUCAACCUCGGGCCUGCAGUGGGUACGGGCAGACUAGAGUGCGGUAGGGGAGAUUGGAAUUCCUGGUGUAGCGGUGGAAUGCGCAGAUAUCAGGAGGAACACCGAUGGCGAAGGCAGAUCUCUGGGCCGUAACUGACGCUGAGGAGCGAAAGGGUGGGGAGCAAACAGGCUUAGAUACCCUGGUAGUCCACCCCGUAAACGUUGGGAACUAGUUGUGGGGUCCAUUCCACGGAUUCCGUGACGCAGCUAACGCAUUAAGUUCCCCGCCUGGGGAGUACGGCCGCAAGGCUAAAACUCAAAGGAAUUGACGGGGACCCGCACAAGCGGCGGAGCAUGCGGAUUAAUUCGAUGCAACGCGAAGAACCUUACCAAGGCUUGACAUAUAGAGGAAACGUCUGGAAACAGUCGCCCCGCAAGGUCUCUAUACAGGUGGUGCAUGGUUGUCGUCAGCUCGUGUCGUGAGAUGUUGGGUUAAGUCCCGCAACGAGCGCAACCCUCGUUCUAUGUUGCCAGCACGUAAUGGUGGGAACUCAUGGGAUACUGCCGGGGUCAACUCGGAGGAAGGUGGGGAUGACGUCAAAUCAUCAUGCCCCUUAUGUCUUGGGCUUCACGCAUGCUACAAUGGCCGGUACAAAGGGCUGCAAUACCGUGAGGUGGAGCGAAUCCCAAAAAGCCGGUCCCAGUUCGGAUUGAGGUCUGCAACUCGACCUCAUGAAGUCGGAGUCGCUAGUAAUCGCAGAUCAGCAACGCUGCGGUGAAUACGUUCCCGGGUCUUGUACACACCGCCCGUCAAGUCAUGAAAGUCGGUAACACCUGAAGCCGGUGGCCCAACCCUUGUGGAGGGAGCCGUCGA
rnacentral:rRNA from 1 species